CGGAUCGGAGUCUGCAACCCGACUCCGUGAAGCUGGAUUCGCUAGUAAUCGCGCAUCAGCCAUGGCGCGGUGAAUACGUUUCCGGGCCUUGUACACACCGCCCGUCAAGCCAUGGGAGCCGGGGGUGCUUGAAGUGCGUCGCCGCAAGGCGCGCCCUAGAGCAAAACCGGUGACUGGGGCUAAGUCGUAACAAGGUACC
rnacentral:rRNA from 1 species